rnacentral:lncRNA from 1 species
AUAUAGUCUCACCAAAAUAGUGGGACCUAGAUAUUGGUCACCGAUGAGCGAAGCCAUCCAAAAAUUUAUCGUGCUAUAUUUAAAGAAAUGUGGCUCUAUUGGUGUUGUAUCUUUCGUGCCCGAAAAUAAUUGAUGUUCUUUCAUGAAAUCAGCCACUAGAUCAUGUCUCACAUAUAUCUCAAAUACUCUGCACUUUUUUUCAUCAGUCUACACA